rnacentral:rRNA from 1 species
GAUGAACGCUGGCGGCGUGCUUAACACAUGCAAGUCGAACGGAAAGGCCGAAGCUUGCUUCGGUACUCGAGUGGCGAACGGGUGAGUAACACGUGGGUGAUCUGCCCUGCACUUUGGGAUAAGCCUGGGAAACUGGGUCUAAUACCAGAUAGGACCACGUCUUGGAUGGUGUGGUGGAAAGUUUUUUCGGUGUGGGAUGAGCUCGCGGCCUAUCAGCUUGUUGGUGGGGUAAUGGCCUACCAAGGCGUCGACGGGUAGCCGGCCUGAGAGGGUGUACGGCCACAUUGGGACUGAGAUACGGCCCAGACUCCUACGGGAGGCAGCAGUGGGGAAUAUUGCACAAUGGGCGCAAGCCUGAUGCAGCGACGCCGCGUGGGGGAUGACGGCCUUCGGGUUGUAAACUCCUUUCGCCAGGGACGAAGCGUCAGUGACGGUACCUGGAUAAGAAGCACCGGCUAACUACGUGCCAGCAGCCGCGGUAAUACGUAGGGUGCGAGCGUUGUCCGGAAUUACUGGGCGUAAAGAGCUCGUAGGUGGUUUGUCGCGUCGUUUGUGUAAUACCGCAGCUUAACUGCGGGGUUGCAGGCGAUACGGGCAUAACUUGAGUGCUGUAGGGGAGACUGGAAUUCCUGGUGUAGCGGUGGAAUGCGCAGAUAUCAGGAGGAACACCGAUGGCGAAGGCAGGUCUCUGGGCAGUAACUGACGCUGAGGAGCGAAAGCAUGGGUAGCGAACAGGAUUAGAUACCCUGGUAGUCCAUGCCGUAAACGGUGGGCGCUGGGUGUGAGUCCCUUCCACGGGGUUCGUGCCGUAGCUAACGCAUUAAGCGCCCCGCCUGGGGAGUACGGCCGCAAGGCUAAAGCUCAAAGGAAUUGACGGGGGCCCGCACAAGCGGCGGAGCAUGUGGAUUAAUUCGAUGCAACGCGAAGAACCUUACCUGGGCUUGACAUGCACCGGAUCGCUGCAGAGAUGUAGUUUCCCUUGUGGCUGGUGUACAGGUGGUGCAUGGUUGUCGUCAGCUCGUGUCGUGAGAUGUUGGGUUAAGUCCCGCAACGAGCGCAACCCUUGUCUUAUGUUGCCAGCAUUUGGUUGGGGACUCAUGAGAGACUGCCGGGGUUAACUCGGAGGAAGGUGGGGAUGACGUCAAAUCAUCAUGCCCCUUAUGUCCAGGGCUUCACACAUGCUACAAUGGUCGGUACAACGCGCAGCUACUUCGUGAGGAGGCGCUAAUCGCUGAAAGCCGGCCUUAGUUCGGAUUGGGGUCUGCAACUCGACCCCAUGAAGUCGGAGUCGCUAGUAAUCGUAGAUCAGCAACGCUGCGGUGAAUACGUUCCCGGGCCU